GGGCUCCCGGCGGGCUGAGUGGGGACGCACUCUGGCGGCCGGCCGCAGAGUCAGCCCAGUGGAGCAGGGGGCAUAAAGUGAUGGGCGACGCACAGGGCGCCCCAGAGCCCAGUGCCGGCCCUGGUCCCCUCAAGCACCGCCCAGGUUGCCGCCUCUCCUCCCUGCCCCACUCAGAUGGAUCGCGGUGAGACCCGCCCAGGCAGCCCGUAACAGUGCCCCCCCCCCCCGUCCCCCAGUACACUCCUGCCUCUAUUUCUGAGACUUGCCAGAGAUGCCCCAAAAUGCGACUUGGUCAUAGAGCCACAAGGAUGGACAUCCCCUCCCCAGCUGCUCUUCAUGGCCGCCUCUUUCACUACCCACAGCCCUCUCCCACCUCAGGACCUUUAAUAGUGUCUUCCUGCCCUCAGAAUGGAGUAAUCCCGCCGACUCCAAACCCAGCCAUAGUGGUUGUCCAGAUUGGCCAAUCGGACCACCUUCAACAUUUCCACCCAGCACCCAGGGGAGUCUUCCAGAGGAAACUGACGCUCACCAAGAGGAAAUGUAAAGAGACAGCUUUGCCAUUCCUCAGCCAAGACCCCAGUCAGUCUCUCCAGAGGGAAGCCCCAGCACAAGCCCACCCAGCCCCAAGCUGCCUCCCUCGAGCUCAUUUGAGCCCUUCAGACAACCCUGAAGAGAAAACCCAACAAGACAACCACCAGGGUAGGGGCAGGUGAGGGGGGAUCUUUGAAGAAACAGACUUAGGCAAGGAGGAGAAAAUAUCAGAAAUAGCCGUAUUUAAUAUCCUCGAAGAGAUCAGAGGAGAUAUUGCAUCCCAGAACCAAGAGCAGGAUGCUAUUUUAAGGAGAACAUUUAGAGAACAAAAAGGGCUGGGAAAUUAAAAGCAUGAGAGCCGAAACAAAAAAAAAAAAAACUCAACAGACUGGUUGGAAGAUAAAAGUAAGCGAAUGUCCCAGAAGGCACAGCAAAAAGACAAAGAGGAAAAAAGAAAGAAAGGAGGAAAAAUUAGAUGCCACAUUCAAACUACACAAAAGAAUUCUGGGGCGGCGGGCUGGGGGUGAAUGAGAAUCACAAACUAUUUAAUUCAAGAAAUGUUCCCAGAAAUGAGAAUGAGUUUUCAAAUUCUACACACAAUGGAUGGAAAUUGACCCACAUCAAGGCAUAUUAUAAUAGAAAAUAGAGAAAGUUCCCUCAGGUUUCCAAGCACUAUGAAAAAGAGCAAGGGUGAGAGUGACUCCUGAAUUUUCAACAGCAACAGCAGGGCAAGCUAACAAACAACACAGUAUGCCUUCAAAACGCCAACAGAUAGUGAUUUCUGGCCUAGAAUCUUUUACUUAAUCAAAACGACAAUAAAAUGUGAAUUAAAAUAAAG
rnacentral:lncRNA from 1 species